rnacentral:ncRNA from 1 species
UUGAGCCGUAUGAGGCGAAAGUCUCACGUACGGUUCUUAGGGGGCGAUGGCACAGUAAUGUGCUGUCGCUACCCGGC